rnacentral:rRNA from 1 species
UAGUAAGUAAUUUUCGCAUGGAAGAUACUUUAAAGUUUCGGCGGUAAAAGAUGAGUAUGCGUCCUAUUAGCUAGAUGGUGUGGUAACGGCACACCAUGGCGACGAUAGGUAGGGGCCCUGAGAGGGGGAUCCCCCACACUGGUACUGAGACACGGACCAGACUCCUACGGGAGGCAGCAGUGAGGAAUAUUGGACAAUGGGCGCAAGCCUGAUCCAGCCAUGCCGCGUGCAGGAAGACUGCCCUAUGGGUUGUAAACUGCUUUUAUACGGGAAGAAACCCACCUACGUGUAGGUGGCUGACGGUACCGUAAGAAUAAGGAUCGGCUAACUCCGUGCCAGCAGCCGCGGUAAUACGGAGGAUCCAAGCGUUAUCCGGAAUCAUUGGGUUUAAAGGGUCCGUAGGUGGAUAAUUAAGUCAGGGGUGAAAGUCUGCAGCUCAACUGUAGAAUUGCCUUUGAUACUGGUUAUCUUGAAUUAUUGUGAAGUGGUUAGAAUAUGUAGUGUAGCGGUGAAAUGCAUAGAUAUUACAUAGAAUACCAAUUGCGAAGGCAGAUCACUAACAAUAUAUUGACACUGAUGGACGAAAGCGUGGGGAGCGAACAGGAUUAGAUACCCUGGUAGUCCACGCCGUAAAACGAUGGUCACUAGCUGUUCGGACUUCGGUCUGAGUGGCUAAGCGAAAGUGAUAAGUGACCCCCCUGGG